UAAACGAAAGGCUGCGCUCGGAGAAAGUCGGGUGGAAAUGCUUUCGGACGUGAGUUCGAUUCUCACCGCCUUCACCA
rnacentral:tmRNA from 1 species